rnacentral:rRNA from 1 species
GACGAACGCUGGCGGCGCGCUUAACACAUGCAAGUCGAACGGAAAGGCCUGCUUUCCCUUGUGGAUUGCGGGUACUCGAGUGGCGAACGGGUGAGUAACACGUGAGUGAUCUGCCCCCAACUUGGGUAUAAGCCUGGGAAACUGGGUCUAAUUCCCGAUAGGACUGCAGGGUGGUGCCUGUGGUGGAAAACGAUUUUCUAGUGGUUGGGGAUGAGCUCGCGGCCUAUCAGCUUGUUGGUGGGGUAAUGGCCUACCAAGGCGGCGACGGGUAGCCGGCCUGAGAGGGUGGACGGCCACAUUGGGAAUGAGAUACGGCCCAGACUCCUACGGGAGGCAGCAGUGGGGAAUAUUGCACAAUGGGCGGAAGCCUGAUGCAGCGACGCCGCGUGGGGGAUGACGGCCUUCGGGUUGUAAACUCCUUUCGACCGCGAGGAAGCCACCUGGUUGGAAGGGUGGUGACGGUAGUGUUAGAAGAAGCACCGGCUAACUACGUG